GCCCCCGUAGUAAAACGGAUAUUACAAACCCCUCCUAAGGGUUAGUUGUGGGUUCGAUUCCCGCCGGGGGCGCCA
rnacentral:tRNA from 1 species